UACGUAGGGGACGAGCGUUGUCCGGAAUUACUGGGCGUAAAGGGCGCGCAGGCUGUGCUGCAAGUCAGCUGUGAAAUGUCUGGGCUUAACCCGGGCAUGCGGUUGAGACUGCAGUGCUGGAGUGCUGUAGAGGCAAGUGGAUUCCCAGUGUAGCGGUGAAAUGCGUAGAUAUUGGGAAGAACACCGGUGGCGAAGGCGACUUGCUGGGCAGCAACUGACGCUGAGGCGCGAAAGCGUGGGGAGCAAA
rnacentral:rRNA from 1 species